rnacentral:rRNA from 1 species
GACAGAGGAUGCAAGCAUUAUCCGGAAUGAUUGGGCGUAAAGCGUCUGUAGGUGGCUUUUCAAGUCCGCCGUCAAAUCCCAGGGCUCAACCCUGGACAGGCGGUGGAAACUACCAAGCUGGAGUACGGUAGGGGCAGAGGGAAUUUCCGGUGGAGCGGUGAAAUGCAUUGAGAUCAGAAAGAACACCAACGGUGAAAGCACUCAGCUGGGCCGACACUGACACUGAGAGACAAAAUCUAGGGGAGCAAAUGGG